GUGGCGGGUGUGGGCGGCUGCUCGAUGGUCUCCGUUGUUGGGAGAACGGGGGUUUUCCGCGUUUCCCCGUCCCCCUUCUGGACAGCCGUCCGUGCAGGCGUGUCCUGGCAGUUGCGUGUGCAUCAAUUCAUUCUGCUCUGUAACAUCACGGACAGAAGGCACAAUUGUUUCUGCUGUGAUUCCAAAACCAACUGUCGAGAGAAGGCCUUUGGGAGAAGAGCAGUGAGCCAGACAGUAGGCUCCCUGGCAGGGCUGGAUGGAGUUCAAGGAAAAUUGUUUGCCUUGCCACCCUCCUGGAAGUUAACAGUAGAUGGUGACUAACAGGAAAGAAACUUCACCAUGGUGUAAACAUAAAAAGGCAUCCCCUCUGCGUGUCUGUGUUAACGCCGGCAAGCUGGGUCACGCAUGAGCAGGAUUCUUGUGUUUGGGGCUUCCAGUAGGUGAGAUGUGGC